CCUAGUACGCAGUUCUCAAGGAAAAUGGUCAAGGAAAAUAUGAUCAAAUUACCAAAGUAAUUUUGACAACUGGUAAACGCAAUUGAAAAAGUAGGCGGCAAUAAAGCAAGGUGAAAAAAAAUGUCAUCAAGCAGUUUUGCGGUUUUUAUAAUGGUUGCCUCGACAUUCAAACAAAUUGCUGCAACCGAAGUGGAGAAGGUGGAAGUGCUGUACCGAAAACGAUUUCAAAAACGGAGUUUCUACAAAGUGCAUUAACGGCAUUGGUUGAAUUGCAGCUGGGCUAUUGUAAUUCGGGAUGAGGAUUUUGAGAUUCGUCUAGAGGAGAUUAAUUUUUCGACGAAACUUUAAAUAUGGCGAGGAAAAAUUCGACCGCCUCAAAUUGAAUUGAGUGAGAUCUCCUCCCACAAUGUAAAACACGACUAAAGGAUACGGCACGAGUCAACCGCCUGAGCCUGAUCUGGCUACUAUCAUCGUAUUGAUUGCUCUCUACUUCCGAACUUUGCCCGCUAAACAUUACACCGACUGUAUAAUUGCAGUGAUUCAUAAGUUGAACUUGAUAAUGAUAAUAAAUUGUGACCGCAUACCAUUCCUCCGGGUGUUAUCCGUAUAUCCUGCAACCCGGAUAAUGAAAAAACAUGUAUCCAGCCGGAUAGAAUGGGCUUAUCUCAUACUACCCUCAACGCCUGUCGUUUUGACGGACGUUUUGAGUUCGUCGUCAAGGAUGCGGAGAAUGUAUAGAUGUCUUCGUUCGAUACAAUCCAAGCACGCGUUCAGUAGAGUCUAGGUGGAGUUAAUUCUCUUUAGCUUUUUCGCUUUCCCCGACCAGUGCGUGGAAUUCGAAACUCAGUUUCGUAAAUUGAAACCUUCGAGAGAGGACAUGACUGACCUCGAGCGUCAUCUUCACUAGUUAAAGAAUGCUUUAUCAAGCUGUGCAUCUGGAGAUUUCUAGCAUUC